AAUGCCAUCAUAUUAACGGUUCAUGUGCCAUCUUUAAGCAGCAAUGCGACACUGGGUUUAAGAUGGACAAAGAUAUCUGUCAACCUUGUGAACGAAGACGCUUUGGUCCUAAUUGUGCCAACGACUGUCACUGUGAACAAUGCCAUAAUGUCAAUGGAUCGUGUUCUCUGUACACCAACUAUUGCGAUGGUGGCUACCGACUUUACAAUGGACUUUGUAAACCAUGCGGACAAAGACAAUAUGGCCAGAACUGUUCUACUGAAUGUCAUUGCGAAAGAUGCCACAUUGUCAACGGCUCGUGUGCCUUGUACAGUUCCGAUUGUGACAUGGGCUACCGGAUGGAAAAUGAUCUAUGUAU